AAAAAAUGAAUGAGUGGAAACUCACUUUUAAAUGGCCUUGAUCAAACUUUACUUUUAUAUAAGCUGCGUUAAAUAAACACCGUAAGGAAAAGUUAUACGCUGAACGCAUUAUCUAAAUACCACUGAUCUCAAAAUAAUAAUGGAUAGCGCAUUCAUAAAAAAAAUUUGAAGCCAGUUUUGGCCUACCAAGAUGACGGCUUAUUUUGCCAACGAAUAUAGAAGUACCAUUUAAAAAAUCAAAAAAACCUUAAGCGUAAUCGAAAAAGGUAUAGUUUUAAACACAAGUUGUCAUGAGGAUUACAAAAGUUUUAAAUAACAGAAACUGAAGAAGGCAUUGAUAUUCAGCAGAUAUUCAAAAAGCUCAAAAUUGAGAAAAAAUUUUAUCUUAAUGUUAAUGCAAAAGGUACGAAGAUUGACGGUUAUACAAAAAAUUUAUGGAUUUGGUUGCGCAAGUAUAUUCUAUUGAAUAUGCAAGAAAGGCACUGCAGUUGCCCUGCAAUUAUGCUCCUUAUCAGUUAUCAACCCAUUACUGAUAUAACUGCGAUAACUACAAGUUUUUUCAAUAAGGUUUUUAUUAUAUAAAUGUUAUAUAUUUUACAGAGUUUUAAAGAAAAGUUAUAUCUCUAUCAAUUGUUAAUCUGUAUGAGCGACACCAUCCAUACUAAUUAUCAACUUAUUAUAAUAAAAAUAACGUAUCAUUUUACUUAUUAUUAUAGUGAUUAUUAUUCUUUAUAAUUUUUUUCUGUUAUUAUUGUUGUUAUU
rnacentral:lncRNA from 1 species